rnacentral:rRNA from 1 species
GUAGGUGGCAAGCGUUGUCCGGAAUUAUUGGGCGUAAAGCGCGCGCAGGUGGUUCUUUAAGUCUGAUGUGAAAGACCCCCGGGCUCAACCGGGGAGGGUCAUUGGAAACUGGGGAACUUGAGUGCAGGAGAGGAAAGUGGAAUUCCACGCGUAGCGGUGAAAUGCGUAGAUAUGUGGAGGAACACCAGUGGCGAAGGCGACUUUCUGGCCUGUAACUGACACUGAGGCGCGAAAGCGUGGGGAGCAAACAGGAUUAGAUACCCUGGUAGUCCACGCCGUAAACGAUGAGUGCUAAGUGUUGGGGGGUUUCCGCCCCUCAGUGCUGCAGCUAACGCAUUAAGCACUCCGCCUGGGGAGUACGGUCGCAAAGACUG